rnacentral:misc_RNA from 1 species
UGGUUCUGGCAUCGAUGAAGAACGCAGCGAAAUGCGAUAAGUAAUGUGAAUUGCAGAAUUCAGUGAAUCAUCGAAUUUUUGAACGCAUAUUGCGCCCUCUGGUAUUCCGGGGGGCAUGCCUGUUCGAGCGUCAUUAGUACCCUCAAGCCUAGCUUGGUAUUGGGCUUCUGUCCAUUGGAUGAGCCUAAAAAUCAGUGGUGAACUACCCUUAUGGAUUCAAGUACAGUAGAAUUUCUUCAACUUGUCAAGCCUCAAGGGGAUGGUUCCUAACCAUUCAAACCUCCAAUUUUUUUUAAGUUGACCUCGGAUCAGGUAGGAAUACCCGCUGA